rnacentral:misc_RNA from 1 species
AAAAUAUAAUAAAUAAUAUAAAUUAUAAAAUUUAGUAAAUCAUUAAAUCUUUAAACGUACAUUGCGUCCCUUAGUAUUCUAUGGGGUAUGCCUAUUCGAGCGUUAUCUACACCCUUAAGCUCUACUUAGUAUUAGGCGUCUAUCCCGCCUUCGCGCGUAAACUUAUUUUAAAUAUAUUAGUAGUGGUCUUUACUUUCUCCCGCGUAGCACAUUACGCUUCUCGAGGCUAUAGUAGCCCAUGUUUAAUAAGCUAAACCCCCCAUCUUUAACCUCGGAUUAGGUAGGGAUACCUGCUAAACUUAAGC